UAUGAGUUCUUCUCUACAUCAGAUUGCAUUUUAUAAUCAUUCUCCCCAGCUUUUCCAGUAGUCUUCAACCGAUGUGGGACAAAAAACGGACAACUUUCUUCUCCGCAUAUCUAUUUUCUUCCUUUCUCUGCCUGCGUAUCCUGGAUAUGUAGAUGAAAAUCAAGCUGUAAACGAAAAACGCCAUCUAAGUUAUUCUAAGAACACUUGCUCUCUGUUUGUGUUUUAAUUCUUGUAUUUCUACGUCCUCCUACAUCGGUUCCUUUGAAGUCCAGAAAAGGAAACUGAAGGCAGAUUUAUAUACUUUACUGGCAGCGUUACCAAAUGUGAAGCACCUGUAUUUAUUAUGCAAUUCCCAGUUUGUAUUGUAGUAGAAAAUGGAUAAAGGUAUGUAAUUGAAGAGUUUUCUGUAACUUCAAAGGUGGGGUUAUGAUUCAACUGUUUUGCAGGUUGGCCAAGAAUAAUUUUCCCCUAUUAAGUUCACCUGGAUAUGGCCAUCUUCAUCAGAGAUAAUGCCACUUUGGACUGAUUGAUCAUACAGGUUGGUUCAUGGCAUAAUGAAAUAAUAUCUUUGUGUGGUUUAGUUGAAAAUAAACAUUUUUCUUUUAACAGACAAGAACUCUUGAUGGAUAGAGUUACAAUUUGUUGUUGAUUCUGUAAAUUUUACAGGGUUUAAGAUAUUGUCUAGAAAUGUCAUAGAAACUUACUAUUUAACAGUUUAAUUAUGUCAUAGUUUUGUUGAGCUAUU